rnacentral:tRNA from 1 species
CGAAGGGUAGUUUAAGUUAAAAUAUUAAUUUUGGGUAUUAGAGAUAUUAUUUUCCUUCGA